UCUUCCGUAGUAUAGUGGUCAGUAUGUGAGCUUGUCAAUGAAGGCAAGUCCAUCAUAACAACGCUCGAGACCCGGGUUCAAUUCCCGGCGGGAGAG